UACGUAGGUGGCAAGCGUUGUCCGGAUUUACUGGGCGUAAAGAGCGUGUAGGCGGCCACGCAGGUCCGUUGUGAAAACUGGAGGCUCAACCUCCAGCUGUCGACGGAAACCGUGUGGCUAGAGUCCGGAAGAGGAGAGUGGAAUUCCUGGUGUAGCGGUGAAAUGCGCAGAUAUCAGGAAGAACACCAAUGGCGAAGGCAGCUCUCUGGGACGGUACUGACGCUGAGACGCGAAAGCGUGGGGAGCGAACAGG
rnacentral:rRNA from 1 species